rnacentral:tRNA from 1 species
AAUAAAAUGCCUGACAAAAGGGUUACUUUGAUAGAGUAAAAUAUAUAGUUUAUCUAUUUUUAUUA